CUGGCAACAGUUCCAAUGUGAGCAACACCCUUCCAGGUACAACAACUUCUUGUGUUCCAUGGAGGACAAUGGACCUGAAACAUUCAAAUAAUGAAGUUUAUGUUGAUCUUGUUGAAGAAAUGGAUGCAAUAAUAAACAGGUACGAGGAUCCAGGCAUUGCUUUACAUUAUGGUGGAACGUUGAGGUAGUGUAUACAUCAUCAAAGUGUAGCAAGGCUUCUCCUCAGCAAGCUAGCCUCUGUCCAUUUGGAGGGUCUUACACAUCAGCAGAAGCUUGCAUUUUGGAUAAACAUUUACAAUUCCUGCACGAGGAAUGUAAGAGAGAGGCCUAUCUAUCACAAAUGACUCAAUAAGUUUUGAAGUGACUGAUAAUAUUAAGCUUAAGACAUUUAUAGAUUUAUUUAUUUAACUUUUGGACAUUUUUUUGCUUACAUUAUCAAUAUUUCAGGCAUUUCUAGAGCAGGGCAUACCCGAAACUCCUGAAAUGGUCGUAGCACUGAUGCAAAACGUUGAGGAACGUACCAUUCCAAUAGAGGAAUUGCUUGAUGGUUAAGAAGUUUUCUGCACAGGAACUGCUAUUGGUAUUGUUCCCGUUUUUAUCAUUCUGACAAAUUCAACUACAAAAGAAAUAGCUUAAUCUUAUAACUUGAGAUGGUGUGGUUCCUGCUUAUUGUUAUUUUAUGCGAGAUGCAGGGCAUGAAGAUGCUGAUGCUUUGAUGAAAACAAAUUCAAGUACAAAAGAAAUAGCUUAAUGUUUGUAUUACUUCUAUAAUAUAUAUAUCUUCUUAGUCAUCAGAUGCUGGCUAACGGCAUUGAUGAUUUCUCUAUUCUGGUUGAAGUUUGAGUAUAGUGUUCUUUAUGAUUCUUGAUCUACUCAUUAAUUUUUUUUUACUGGUUUUCAAGUUUACAUUUCUUAUUCCGAUCACUAGCCAACAAAACUGAUCCUCUAAUUUGUUGAUUUUGCACUUUAUUAGGGUGCUAAUCUUAUGGUGUGGGUUGCAAAAAGGUCGAUGGUUGAUGAGCUGGAAGCAAUGCUCGAUGUGGUAGACCCUCAGCCUCCUGGCAGAUCUCUUUCCAUGCGAAGGAGGACAUUUGAUAUGCCUGAUGAUCUCAUCCAGAAGGAACUUGCAGCCGUUGUCGCUGAGGUCAUUCAAAUGCUUGAUCAAGAAAAUGGUACCUUUGACCCAUCCUUGUUAAGUCCAUAGAAAUAUGGCAAAAUCACCUCAUUUUGAGGUCACAAAGUUCUCUCAACUAGGUGUAGGAAGGUGCACUUCUACUUAUCUUUACCCUCUCAUUUAGCCCUAAUUGAGAAAUUUCUGAGACUCGUUAUCUAGUUGGUCACGAAGAGUUUUAUUGUAUUGCUUUUACAGUUGAAUUUACUGACCCAUUGAGGGUUGUUUGUGGUGCUUAAUUUUGUGUGUAAGGUUUAAUUUUGUGGUGUAGCAUUCUGUUUUUAGCAUUCUGACAAAUUCAACUACAAAAGAAAUAGCUUAAUGUUUAUGAA